ACGCUCGACACCUACGGGUGGCAGCAGUGGGGAAUAUUGCACAAUGGGGGAAACCCUGAUGCAGCAACGCCGCGUGAAGGAAGACGGUUUUCGGAUUGUAAACUUCUGUUCUUAGUGAAGAUAGUGACGGUAGCUAAGGAGCAAGCCACGGCUAACUACGUGCCGNNGCGCGUAUNUGAGCGGCGUGCGAGNG
rnacentral:rRNA from 1 species